rnacentral:sRNA from 3 species
AUUCUACCCAUGUGGGGAAGGAUGAGAAGCUUCGACUAAGGUUCGAUUCGAGCGCAGCGA